GAGUGCAUAUCCAUCGGAAUGAAGGUCGAAUACUCAAUGGAAGAAGUCACUUGACCUAUCCAAAUCUGGAAGAAUUCAGAAGCAUUACAAAACAAGAAAAGAGAGGGAGCACCGCAAGUCAGUUAGUAAAUAUCACCCACAGGCUUGAGCCUGAUGGUACGCCUUACAAUUAUGCCUCGUCAUCCAAGGGUGCUAAAGUGGUGGCCCAUAAUAAAGAAGCAAAAGGAGCAAACAACGUACUGAACAAGGAUCAUGAUAAGUAUCUCAGAAACCCUUGUUCUGUGGCCGGGAAAUUCUUUGUUAUUGAGUUUGCAGAUGAAACUCUAGUUGAUGCAGUCAAAAUUGCAAAUUUUGAGCAUUAUUCAUCUAUGCUAAAAGAAUUUGAGUUAUCAGGGAGUUUGGUAUAUCCAACUGAGACGUGGAAUCCACUGGGAACUUUUGUUGCUGAAAAUGUCAAGCAUGCUCAGUGUUUUAAGCUACCUGAACCAAAAUGGGUUAGAUACUUGAAGCUAAAUUUACUCACACAUUAUGGCUCUGAAUUUUAUUGUACUAUCAGUUUUAUCGAGGUAUAUGGUAUUGAUGCCAUAGAGCAGAUGCUUGAGGAUCUCAUCGUCCAUUCCCCCGAGUCUUCUCCUGAUAAAAUGGGAA
rnacentral:misc_RNA from 1 species